CAGGCACUUUUAGUUUUUGGGCUUCGUUUUUGAAUUCAAGUAAUCUUGCAUUUUUGUUCCCUCACAGGUUUCUAUCUGAGGCUUUGUUUACCUUGCUGAGUUCUGGCUUCGUUUCCAGAGUUUCUCUGAGCUUCUGGAUUAACUACUGAGUUAAGAAACUACCUUCUUGUGGAUUUCUCUCACUUCCGUCUGAACCUUUCGGACACGGACCAAGCUGGUGGGUUCCCGUUUUCUUCGACUCCAAGACCCAGGCAUCAGCACACCCUGCUUCUUUCUCCUUCUCAAACAUCGACACCUGAGCUCCUUCUUGCUGGCACCAAGCUCACAACAGAAAAGACAACUGGACAAUUCCCCUUUGCAAGUUAAGACUCUGAAUUGCUCUACCCCUGGCGGUUCUUGCUACAACAAUUUAUUGGUGUUCCUGUCCUUGAUUACUUGACAAUAAAAACCGUAAAACGUUU